CCUACGGGGUGCAGCAGUGAGGAAUAUUGGUCAAUGGCCGGAAGGCUGAACCAGCCAUGCCGCGUGAAGGUCAGUGCCCUAUGGGCGUUAAACUUCUUUUGUGCGGGAGCAAUAAUGGUCACGUGUGGCCAGACGAGAGUACCGUACGAAUAAGCAUCGGCUAACUCCGUGCCAGCAGCCGCGGUAAUACGGGGGAUGCAAGCGUUAUCCGGAUUUAUUGGGUUUAAAGGGUGCGUAGGCUGUGAGGUAAGUCAGCGGUGAAAUGCCCCCGCUCAACGGGGUGAAGUGCCAUUGAUACUGCCAUGCUGGAAUGCGGAUGCGGUGAGAGGAAUGUGUGGUGUAGCGGUGAAAUGCAUAGAUAUCACACAGAACACCGAUUGCGAAGGCAUCUCACGAAUCCGCGAUUGACGCUGAUGCACGAAGGCGUGGGUAUCAAACAGGAUUAGAUACCCGGGUAGUC
rnacentral:rRNA from 1 species